GGAGUUAGCCGGUGCUUCUUCUGUGAGUGAUGUCCUUCCUGCCGGCUAUUAACCCGCAGGCCUUCUUCCUCACUGAAAGUGCUUUACAACCCUAAGGCCUUCUUCACACACGCGGCAUGGCUGGAUCAGGGUUGCCCCCAUUGUCCAAUAUUCCCCACUGCUGCCUCCCGUAGGAGUCUGGGCCGUGUCUCAGUCCCAGUGUGGCUGAUCAUCCUCUCAGACCAGCUACGGAUCGUCGCCUUGGUGAGCCGUUACCUCACCAACCAGCUAAUCCGACAUAGGCUCAUCCGAUAGCGCGAGGCCCGAAGGUCCCCCGCUUUCCCCCGUAGGGCGUAUGCGGUAUUAGCCUGGGUUUCCCCAGGUUAUCCCCCACUACCCGGGCAGAUUCCUAUGCAUUACUCACCCGUCCGCCGCUCGCCACCAGGGAGCAAGCUCCCCGUGCUGCCGCUCGACUUGCAUGUGUUAGGCCUGCCGCCAGCGUUCAAUCUGAGCCAGGAUCAAACUCUGA
rnacentral:rRNA from 1 species